AGAAGCUGGGGAAAGCAAUGUAUCUUCCUUAGUAUUUCAUACUGGUUUCAUUAUAACUCCAGUGUAGCGCUAUCUGAUCUGUGGAUGUGUGAAUGAGUUAGGUUAACCAUGGAUACAAAGACAACAGUGAAAUAGUACUCUCUCUCAAAGAACUUACAUUUCAUUGAGAAGAAAUAUGUACACUGAUAAAGGUCUCUGGUCUUGCUUUCUUGGCUCUUCUAUGAACCUUCCUGGUGUCUCUUGUCUUGCUUGUGGUCUCUGGCAAGCAGAAGCAUGGAGAGAACCUGCUGGAUGGCAACCUGGGACCUGAUGCUACUUUAAGUUAGAAAGGCUGGAAACCUUAUUUCUAUCUUUCUCUUU
rnacentral:lncRNA from 1 species